AAAAAGGCAAACCCUGGGUUUCCGUGUCUAAUUUUGACUGUCCGUCUUAUAUAAAAUUUUUUUAUAAUUCGUAUUUUCAUUGUUGUUAGAUGAUAAAACAUGAUUAAUAUUUUAUGCGUGACUUGUCUUUUAAUUUUUUUCAUAAUUUUUUCAAAUAAGAGGAAUGGUCAAAUGUUGGGCACGGAAACU
rnacentral:pre_miRNA from 1 species